AAACUAAAGGUUAAAUUAAAGAAUAUAUGUUGUGUCUUUUCGUUAGAUUGGAUACAAAAAAUAGUCCAACUGUUGGAAUUUCAGUAUUUUGUGAAGCUUUCAGGACUCGGGAAUAUUUAAGUGAUUUUGUAAAAGUUUUGAAACAUGUAUCUCAAAUUAAUGAGUUAGUUAUGGAAGGCUGUAUACAGGAAAUUGAUGUUGCUGUUUUGUGGUCUGAGAAAUACGAAGACACAUUACAGAGUUGGCUAAGGUGGAAUGUAUCUUAACAGUGUACAUAAAGCAUUUCAUUUGGUGUAGAUUAGUUCAUAAAAUAUUUUUACAUAGUCAUCAACAUGAUUUAAAUAAAUGUUUGUUAUUCAUGUUUCUCUA